rnacentral:lncRNA from 1 species
UGGACUGCGCCAGCGCCGCCAGCAGCUGCCGCACCACGUUGUCGUACAUGAGGUCGCUCUCGUUGGUGAUGAAGUCCAGCCGGUUGAGCGACUUGAUGUGGUCCCGGUUCUCGUUGCAGAACAUGGCCAGGAUGUUGAUGUCGCAGAACUGGGAGCGGCGCCACUGCCGGCGCGUCUUGAUGCCCACCUUGUGCAGCUUGUCGAAGACGAAGUUGCUCUUGCGGAAGAUGGAGGUGCGUGAGGUUGACCAGGAUGACGAGGCUCAUGGCGCAGAGGAGCACCACGUCCACGCCCGCCACGAUGCGCUGCAGCUGCACCGACGGCAGCUUGCAGGUGACGCGCACGGCCGGGCCUCCCCCCGGGGCGGCGCCCAGCGCACAGGUGAACUCGUUCUGCUUCUGGGUGGCGUAGUAGGUGCACAGGUAGGAGAUGGGCGCCACGCUGAGCAGCAGGAUGAGCAGGUGCCGCGCCAGGUAGAGCUUGGCCAGGAAGUUGCUGCGGCCGCGGCGCUCCAGGUACUUCUCGAACAGGUUCUGCUCGGGGCUCUUCUCCUUCUCCGCGUUCUCGAUGAUCUCGCGCCGCUCGCGCUCCGUGAUGCCCGGGCCCUUGGACUGGAUCUGCUUCUCGAUCUUGGGCGCACGGCCCUCGGCCGCCCGGUGGUAGCAGUUGUCGAUUUCCUGCAGCAGGAAGUUGAGCUCGGAGGUGAGGCGCGUGGACGCCAGGAACUCCCAGCCCAGCGCAGGCACGUACAUGAUCGCCGCGAAGGCCAGCAGCGAGUAGGGCAGCAGCUUGUGCUCGAACAGCGACGGCCACAGGCUGGCGUCCACGCCGGGCAGUGCGUCCCGCAGCUCCGUCCAGCAGUAGCCGCGGGCAUACAGCGCCUGGUCGCGGGUGAAGUUGUGCGGCGUGUAGCAGUAAAUGGGCUCCUCUGGGAAAUUCUUGGUGAAGACCAGGGUGACCAGCAGGAUGGGGACGAGCACGGUGCCGAUGGUGACCACGCGGUCAAACGGCAGCUCCAGCUUGAGCUGCAGCAGCAGCGCGGCCAGCGCGCCCGCCUUGUCGUCCU